ACGAACGCUGGCGGCGUGCUUCACCCCUGCCAGUCGAACGGUGAAGCGCCUUCCUUUUUGGUGGGUGUGGAUGAGUGGCGAACGGGUGAGUAACACGUGAGUAACCUGCCCCCUUCUUCUGGAUAACCGCAUGAAAGUGUGGCUAAUACGGGAUAUUCUGGGUCUGUCGCAUGAUGGGUCUGGGAAAGAUAUUGUUUCGGUGGGGGAUGGGCUCGCGGCCUAUCAGCUUGUUGGUGGGGUGAUGGCCUACCAAGGCGGUGACGGGUAGCCGGCCUGAGAGGGUGGACGGUCACACUGGGACUGAGACACGGCCCAGACUCCUACGGGAGGCAGCAGGGAGGAAUAUUGCACGAUGGGCACAAGCAUGAUGCAGCGACGCCGCGUGAGAGAUGGAGGCCUGCGGGUUGUGAACCUCUUUCGCCAGUGAAGCAGGACUGCCUCGUUUGUGGGUGGGUUGACGGUAGCUGGAGAAGAAGCGCCGGCUAACUACGUG
rnacentral:rRNA from 1 species